AAAGGUUGUAGUUUUCAAGGUUUAUGUUCAACGUUUGAUCAUCUGUCUUAUUUGAAAAAAAUUAUGAUUAGUAUUUUUAUUGUUAUUAGAUGAUAAAACAUGAAUAAUACUUUAUGUGUGACUAUUUUUUUAAAAAAAACUUUAAAUAAAGUGGACGGUUAAACGUUGAACACGAAAACUGAUAAUUGCCCUUAAA
rfam:Oryza rufipogon genomic scaffold, chr06